rnacentral:rRNA from 1 species
GGGGACCCGCACAAGUAGCGGAGCAUGUGGGUUAAUUCGAAGCAACGCGAAGACCCUUACCUAAGCUUGACAUCCCAAUGACAUCUCCUUAAUCGGGGAGUUCCUUUCGGGGACAUUGGUGACAGGUGGGGCAUGGUUGUCGUCAGCUCGUGUCGUGAGAUGUUGGGUUAAGUCCCGCAACGAGCGCAACCCUUGUCUUUAGUUGCCAUCAUUAAGUUGGGCACUCUAG